rnacentral:rRNA from 1 species
CGCGCCCUAAACGAUGUAUGCUUGGUGUUGGGCCCGCAAGGGUUCAGUGCCGUAGGGAAUCUGAUAAGCAUACCACCUGGGGAGUACGAUCGCAAGGUUGAAACUCAAAGGAAUUGACGGGGGCCCGCACAAGCGGUGGAUCAUGUGGUUUAAUUCGAUGCAACGCGAAGAACCUUACCCGGGCUUGAAGUGUAAGUAGUACAGAGAUGAAAGUCGACGGACCCGUUAAGUCGGAUGCUUACAGAGGUGC